rnacentral:rRNA from 1 species
UAUCCCCCUAGAGGAGCCUGUCCUAUAAUCGAUAACCCCCGNUUAACCUCACCAUUUUNUGCCAGUCAGCCUGUAUACCUCCGUCGUCAGCUUACCACGUGAGCGUCAGUGAGCSUAAUGUUUCUCCAACUACACGUCAGGUCAAGGUGCAACAUAUAAAAUGGGAAGAGAUGGGCUACACUUUCUACCAUAGAAUAAACGAAAGACUAAAUGAAACCUAGUCAGAAGGCGGAUUUAGCAGUAAAAUGAAACUAGAGCGUUCACUUAAAUGCGGCACUGGGGUGUGUACACACCGCCCGU